rnacentral:rRNA from 1 species
AGAGUUUGAUCCUGGCUCAGAUUGAACGCUGGCGGCAUGCUUUACACAUGCAAGUCGAACGGCAGCGCGGGGCAACCUGGCGGCGAGUGGCGAACGGGUGAGUAAUAUAUCGGAACGUACCCAAGAGUGGGGGAUAACGUAGCGAAAGUUACGCUAAUACCGCAUACGAUCCAAGGAUGAAAGCAGGGGACCUUCGGGCCUUGUGCUCCUGGAGCGGCCGAUAUCUGAUUAGCUAGUUGGUGAGGUAAAGGCUCACCAAGGCGACGAUCAGUAGCUGGUCUGAGAGGACGACCAGCCACACUGGAACUGAGACACGGUCCAGACUCCUACGGGAGGCAGCAGUGGGGAAUUUUGGACAAUGGGCGCAAGCCUGAUCCAGCAAUGCCGCGUGAGUGAAGAAGGCCUUCGGGUUGUAAAGCUCUUUUGUCAGGGAAGAAACGGUGGAGGCUAAUAUCCUUCGCUAAUGACGGUACCUGAAGAAUAAGCACCGGCUAACUACGUGCCAGCAGCCGCGGUAAUACGUAGGGUGCAAGCGUUAAUCGGAAUUACUGGGCGUAAAGCGUGCGCAGGCGGUUUUGUAAGUCUGACGUGAAAUCCCCGGGCUCAACCUGGGAAUUGCGUUGGAGACUGCAAGGCUAGAAUCUGGCAGAGGGGGGUAGAAUUCCACGUAGCAGUGAAAUGCGUAGAGAUGUGGAGGAACACCGAUGGCGAAGGCAGCCCCCUGGGUCAAGAUUGACGCUCAUGCACGAAAGCGUGGGGAGCAAACAGGAUUAGAUACCCUAGUAGUCC